rnacentral:rRNA from 1 species
GAGUUUGAUCCUGGCUCAGAACGAACGCUGGCGGCGUGGCUAAGACAUGCAAGUCGUACGAAUUUUUUGAUUGAGUAAUCAUGACAAAGAUUAGUGGCGGAUGGAUGAGUAAUGCAUAGGUAACGUACCCUUAACUCUGGGAUAGCUGCGGAACUUCGGUUCCUUUGCGAAAGUGCAGAUAAUACCAGAUUACAUCUCGAAAUCGUAUGGUUUUGAGAUCAAAGGAGCAAUCCGGUUUUGGAGCGGCCUAUGUCGUAUCAGCUUGUUGGUGAGGUAAUGGCUCACCAAGGCAUCGACGCGUAGGGGAGCUGAGAGGCUAAUCCCCCAUAUCGGGACUGAGACACUGCCCGGACCUCCACGGAGGGCUGCAGUAACGAAUAUUGCGCAAUGGCCGAAAGGCUGACGCAGCGACGCCGCGUGUAGGACGAAGCCCCUCGGGGUGUAAACUACUGUUAGGGUGAAGAAAUAAAAUGAUCUAACCCGAAGAAAGGCCCGGCUAACUUCGUGCCAGCAGCCGCGGUAAUACGAAGGGGCCAAGCGUUGUUCGGAAUUAUUGGGCUUAAAGCGCAUGUAGGCGGAAAAGUAAGUGUCUUGUGAAAUCCCACGGCUCAACCGUGGAACUGCAUGGCAUACUGCUUUUCUUGAGGCAAUCAGGGGUGUUGGAACUUUGGGUGGAGCGGUGAAAUGCGUAGAUAUCCAAAGGAACGCCAGCGGAGAAAUCGGCACACUGGGAUUGUUCUGACGCUGAGAUGCGAAAGCGUGGGGAGCGAACGGGAUUAGAUACCCCGGUAGUCCACGCCGUAAACGAUGUAUACUAGAUUGUGGGAAUUCUGACGUUCUCGCAGUCGAAGCAAAAGUGUUAAGUAUACCGCCUGGGGAGUACGGUCGCAAGGCUAAAACUCAAAGGAAUUGACGGGGGCUCACACAAGCGGUGGAGCAUGUGGCUUAAUUCGAAGCAACGCGAAGAACCUUAUCCUGGGUUUGACUAUUACGGAUGCCCUCCCUGAAAGGGGAGUAAGCUGCCUUCGGGUGAAACGUAAACAGGUGCUGCAUGGCUGUCGUCAGCUCGUGUCGUGAGAUGUGAGGUUAAGUCCUUUAACGAGCGAAACCCUUAUCGUUAGUUGCCAGCGCGUAAUGGCGGGGACUCUAGCGAGACUGCCGGUGUCAAACCGGAGGAAGGCGGGGAUGACGUCAGGUCCUCAUGGCCUUUAUGCCCAGGGCUGCACACGUGCUACAAUGGUAUGGACAAACCGACGCGAGACCGCGAGGUGGAGCAAAUCGGAAAAACCAUGCCUCAGUUCGGAUUGUAGUCUGCAACUCGACUACAUGAAGUUGGAAUCGCUAGUAAUCGCAGAUCAGCUAUGCUGCGGUGAAUAAGUUCCUGAGCCUUGUACACACCGCCCGUCAAGUCAUGGAAGCCGGGAGUACCUGAAGUCGGGUCGCUAACCGUAAGGAAGCGCUUGCCGAUGGUAAGUUCGGUGACUGGGGCUAAGUCGUAACAAGGUA